rnacentral:lncRNA from 1 species
CUCACACAGGCUGGCAUCUAGCAUGGGCUGUAGCAGACCCUAGGGAUACUGACAUCACAAUCACUUUUCCUUCCCACUUGCAGACAGUAGUGAAAAUUACCCCACACAGAACUAAAGACUGAGAGCACAAGAGACUGCUGUAUCUCUGCCCUCUGUAAAUCACCUCUGGGAGGUCACAAGCUCAGUACAUUCAAGAUGGAGCAACAUUCAGUGCAGGAGAACAACACAGACCCC